rnacentral:rRNA from 1 species
UACGUAGGCAGCAAGCGUUGUUCGGAAUUACUGGGCGUAAAGAGUGUGUAGGCGGUGUUCCAAGUCUGGUGUGAAAUCUCCCGGCUUAACUGGGAGGGUGCAUUAGAAACUGGAAUGCUAGAGGAUGGGAGAGGUAAGCGGAAUUCCUGGUGUAGCGGUGAAAUGCGUAGAUAUCAGGAGGAACACCAAUGGCGAAGGCAGCUCACUGGGACGGUAUUGACGCUGAGACGCGAAAGCGUGGGGAGCAAACAGG